AUUGAACGCUAGCGGGAUGCCUAACACAUGCAAGUCGAACGAGUGGCGGACGGGUGAGUAAUAUAUAGGAACGUGCCCAGUAGCGGGGGAUAACUACUCGAAAGAGUGGCUAAUACCGCAUACCCUUGGAGCGGCCCAGAUCGGAUUAGCUAGUAGGUGGGGUAAAGGCUCACCAGGGCAACGAUCCGUAGCUGGUUUGAGAGGAUGACCAGCCACCGUGGAACUGAGACACGGCCCAGACGCCGACGGGAGGCAGCAGUGGGGAAUUUUGAACAAUGGGAGAAACCCUGAGCCAGCCAUGCCGCGUGUAUGAGAAGGCCUUCGGGUUGUAAAGUACUUUAGGCAGGGAAGCGGUAUCUGCAGAAUAAGCACCGGCUAACUCCGUGCCAGCAGCCGCGGUAAUAC
rnacentral:rRNA from 1 species